rnacentral:rRNA from 1 species
CUUUCCCAAAACUGGUGAAUAGCCUUCCGAAAGGGAGAUUAAUACACCGUAAGAUAAUGGAGUGGCAUCACUUUAUUAUUAUAGCUCCGGCGGUUUUGGAUGGGCGUGCGGCUGAUUAGGUAGUUGGCGGGGUAACGGCCCACCAAGCCUGCGAUCAGUAACUGGUGUGAGAGCACGACCAGUCACACGGGCACUGAGACACGGGCCCGACUCCUACGGGAGGCAGCAGUAAGGAAUAUUGGUCAAUGGACGCAAGUCUGAACCAGCCAUGCCGCGUGCA